GAGGCUGAAGAGUCCCGGGGAGGAGUCGCUGGCUCGUUGCACCGGUGGAUACUACGGCGGCGGCGGUCGGCGGUCGGCGAAGUGGUGGAACCGGCGGAGGUGUCGACGUAGCCUGAGACCGAGACCAAACAAUGUGCAGCACGAACUCGAGCUGUUAACGUCGUCGUUCUCUGGAACCAAUUGAUCCGAUACAUGAAUGUAAUAGUUCAUUCGAGCACGGAAAUACGGAAUUCGAUCGAUUUAUUGAACAAUUUUAUAUACACGCAUUCAAUUGUUUAUUUGUAUAAUUUGCUCAUAGAAAGUGCUCGUUGUAAAUGUAUACGGAGUUUUCGUGUAUGAUAAGGAUUACUCACCGUCUAGAUUUUAUGGCGCGCGAAUUUUAUAGCCCGCUAUAGUUGACCAUAUACGUAUCACGGUGUCUCGCAUCGUACUCGGGAACGGGAAUAUAUUGUUUGAAUUAUCGUAACAUUAUUGUAAUAUUUGCGUGUGAGUGAUUGCGGUUCUGUUAUUUUUCUUCUUGCGUGAUAUGUUUGUGCGAAUUUAAGUAAUUUCCCGCUAGCUAAAUAAUCCAAGUUUUCCUCCUAUUCUUCGUCUUCUCUUGGUUUGGAAUAUUCUAAUUAACACACUAGUUUUGAACGUAGUAGUCCUUUUCAAUUUUCAAUACCUAUUGUAUCGUUAUCCGUACGAAUUUGUAUCUUACUUUGGAAGUGGGUGUUGGUGCGUUCGAGAGGGUUUGUGCCUUUGCUGUUGAUGUAAAAAAAAAAAAACGAAAUAACCAACUGUGACAACAAAUUUGAUAUUUUACCGAUUAAAUUAUCCUGCCGUUUGCCGUCCCGAUGACGGAUGACCGGGUGUCGUUGAAUUUCGCCGCGAUACAUAUUCUUUGAGAAUCGUGGGGUGGGGGUUUUUUUGAAAAGAUUGCAUGGAUUUCGUAAUUUGAUCGCACACCGAGAAGACGCUAUGGAUGUCCACGCCGGAGGGUGCAGCAGCUCCUCCAACACGGGCGAAGAGAUAAUCCGAGGCGUCGCGACGCCGUCUCCUGCCCCCGCAAUAGCCCCGAACACGGCGAACAUCACCCCCGCCGCCUCCGUUGUUUCCGCCGUCGCAACUAGCGCCUCAGCAUCAAUCACAAACGUGGUCUCGAGCCCGAACGCCCCGCAACUACCGCAAUCGACAACCCAUCAGCAAAAUUCAGCGCCGAGAAUAUUCAGCAGAAAUGUGAACGGAACUCUCGUGCAGACUUCGGUACCUCAAAACGAAGCUGAAUUACAAUUGUAUCGUGUCAUGCAGCGUGCUUCUCUGCUAGGAUAUUACGACACGCUUCUCGAAAUGGGAGGCGAUGACCUCCAGCAAUUAUGCGAUGCUGGGGAAGAAGAAUUUCUAGAAAUAAUGGCGCUCGUAGGCAUGGCCAGUAAACCUCUUCACGUCAGAAGAAUGCAAAAAGCCCUCCAAGAGUGGCAUACAAAUCCUUCGAUGUUUCAAACUCCGGUAAUACCUCCGAAUCCAACGAGUAAAUCGAACGUAGCUUUGAAUUUUCCCUGCAUAAGUCCUAGGGCCCAAUUCCCCGCUCACAAUCAAACGCAACCCAAUUACAACGGUCCACUAUUACCACUAACUCCUUUGCCGUGUCGAAGCUCUAGUCCGGUCGUCCAACAGCCCAGCACCAACACAUCGACUACUUCGACCACGUUUCAAAACACCCCUAGCCCCAGCGCUUCUAUUUCGUAUCCCAGCGCCCAAAGCCCUGGAGUAUUGCAGGUGGGAACUUGCGAGUCGUCUUGCGGCAGCGGUACCACAUCGAGUCCUGGGGGUGCCGGUGGUGCUCCCGGUAGUCCGUCGCAGCCUCUUCCCGCUCUUCUUCAAUCUCAGGUACAAAGAUUGUCCGACGUGGCCGAACGACUUGCACUGACUCUUCCACCGCUUGACCCAAAACCGCACAACAUCAAGAAAAAAAUUUGCAAGAACCUAGAGAUGGUGAUGGCGAUGCCGGACAACGAUCCCCGUCGCAUGGACGAAAUCAGGAAAUACGCGGCUAUUUAUGGUCGGUUUGAUUGCAAACGAAAACCCGAAAAGCCUUUAACACUUCACGAAGUUUCCGUUAACGAGGCUGCUGCGCAGAUCUGUAAAUUUGUACCGGCGCUACUCACUAGAAGGGACGAACUUUUUCCUCUCGCUCGACAAGUCGUUAGAGAUUCUGGAUACCAUUACUCCAAGAGCCAGUACAUUUCUAUGACCAGACCGCGAGAAAACGGCGACGAUAUGGAUGGAGAGAGAGCUAAACGUUAUCGUCUCGAACUAGAGGGUGAGAGUGAGGAUUCCGCGCAGCUUUACACACUGAGAGUGCGGACUUUUGGGAAAAUGAGAACUACGUCAAUUUCGACGGUGACCGGGGCGGAGAAUUAUUGGGAAAUCUGUAACAAGUAUCGAGGAGAAGAUUCCGGAUUACAAGAAACUAUUUGGACCACGACUUGGUAGAAAAAACAGGAUAGUCGGAGGACUGUAAGACACGUUAACCAGCAAAACGCGACCAGGACUGUCCGUCCAAAUUAGAAAAUGACGAAAAAAGUGGAUGCGGGAUGAGAAAAUGAACGCAUUAGUUACAUAUAUAGAAGACAAAGUACGUACCAGAAUCAUUUCAGAUUGCUGUUGGCUUUUUAUGAAAUUUGAGGUCAUCAUUUUUGCGAGUUGUAUUGCUUUUUCUAUGAUUCUUCGUCGUUCAAACAACUCCAGUUGAUAAUCCGGUGGAUAAUCGAGUCAUCUGUACAUUUUUGGAAAUUGUUUUUGACCCACGUGAGUUUGUCGACUUAAGUGACUACAGCUGAACAGUGAGUACCACGACCUAUUACAAUUUGUUUAAAGACUGCAAAAUCUAUCAACUGAAUUUUGUCGUCGUAACACUAGAGUCGCAAGAAAAAUCCUCCAGUCGAAAACCUGAGCAAAAUAUCAUCCUGAAUCGCACAAUUGGAAGAUUGACGGCAUAGAAAAUGAGGACUACUGCUUAACAGGCUCUGCUGGACUCCAGCAACUCAACUACGAAGCGGCGCAGAUCAUCAAGUCCAGUUUGGCAGAGGAAGAGUAACGGCAUUUUCAACCCGAGUCCCGAGGGAAGUGAUUCGGACACCCAAUUUUCCUUCUCAA